GAUACAAGCAAUUUUUGACUGUAUUUGUAGCAAAUAAUAUAUACAUAUCAUUAAUAUUCAGCAAAUAUAUCAGCAAACGUAAACGAUAAGAAAGACAUUGUCUUGUCUAUUUAAUUGUUGUGAACACAAUCACAAUAGUCUAAAGCUUCUCGAGAAUGAGAAUGUGAAAGCGUAUAAGUGACUAGUAAGUUUAACACGCGCUGGCUUAGUUUCUCAAAGCGCAGAGGAGUAAUAUUGCUAUCUGGCUAUUAUACAGUACAGUAUAAUAUUCUUCAUAGUCCGAUAGAAAAUCGUGAACCGUAAAAACAAAGACAUGUAAAUUUGUUUUUAGCACAAGCAUGCAGUUAUGAAGCCAUGACUAAGCGAGAUGAAAUUGCAUUAACCCAGCAACAAUUCAGAUAAUUUGUUACCUUAACUUAAGCCUCGUACACGGCACGUGCACGACUGUAUAGCUGCAAUAUUUUGCAAUUAAUGGCACGCACGGCACGGCAAAAUUUGAUGCACGGCAAAAGUUAGCUGACUUAGGCACGGCAUGUUUUUUCUAAAUAUUGUGGGACAUUUAACUUAUCUAUCGAAUUCAAAUGCAAGGAAAUACUUUUGAAAACUGCGCAUUUAGUUAUCAAUGCUUUGUCCAGAUUUACACCUCAUUUAUACACGGCACUAGACUGACAUUUUGCCCGGAUAAAGUAUACCUUGCAUGACCAAAUUAAAGCAAAACAUUUAGCGAACUCUGUUUACGUUGCCAACUUCGAGAACAUUAGUUUCACAAGUGUCUAGUUAUUUGUUUAUCAAGUCAA